rnacentral:lncRNA from 1 species
GCAGAUAUAAAAAUUCUUGUGUGAACUGUGUCACGUGCAAGGACUUGGAAUUCAGGAAUUUCUGUUUCUCCAGUUCAGAGAUAAACCAAAUGUUUGCUGUGAAAUCAACACACCAGUUCCUAAGCUUUGGGCAAAAUUGUAACUUAUACAAAGGAAUUCUGGAGAUGUUGACAAAACUGGAAAAACAGAUGUCUCUAGCCAACGUGAGAUCCAUGUGAGCUGAGCGGAAGCUUGGGAAAUUCAGGCCCUGCGGUCAGCCCAGUGUGGACUCAGAGGUUCAGAUUCAUGUGUGGGGUUCUUCCGGUCUGCCCAGAAGUACUCUGAACACCCCAAACAAGCAAACAUCUCAGCUCCAGGUCUGAGGAGGGGAUUGUCUUUGAAGUGGUUCAAUUAAGGAACUCUUCUCGCUUGUUCACUCGAUGCCAGCCCCGUGUGCCAGAUGUUGUACUGAAGUCCUGUACUUUUCAAGCUGGUGAGUCGGCUCUGGACACAGCAGGAGCUGCUGUCAACGGAGGAACCCACAGCAUCUCCCAGGGCGAAAGAGGUCACUUCUCCUCCACCGAAUCACAUUUGACACCAUUCCAGUCAGCCUUGCAAUUGGGAGGUUUCUGAACUUGGAAUGGUAUUUCCAAUAUUGAU